rnacentral:lncRNA from 1 species
GAUCAUCAGGAUUUUCUUGGACUCUGGGGUCCUUGUCCUGCUCAGGCAUCCCUGCCCUGCUCUCCUUGAGGGCCCUCAACACUAUCUUCCCUGGACACAAGUCUGGGGACAGCCGGGUGUUGAGGAGCCCAAAGGGGUGACUACCUGCUCCUGGGCCCCACAGAGUCCUUGUGCUGAGUGUAGUGGCUGAGCUGGGGGAUGCCCUGGAAUUCGGAGCACACAGCACUGGCUUACUGUGGUACCUGUGCAGUGAAAUUGAAGAGAGAAUCACCAGGAUGGAACACAGGUCUUGCAGGAUC